UGCAUGUCAGAGAAGGCUCCGGAUGUUUCUUCCUCAACACGAGCACUGCAGACGUCGUCAAGUGGCCUCCCAGGAGGCCAGGGGAGUCGCCGCGGGACAACUGGGAAAUGUUAUGUGACAUGUGUGGCUUGUGUCAUAGAACAUUUCAGCGGGACGGCGCUGGUGGAAACCCCGGGUGCUCCGAGUGUGGUUCCUGGAGCGGCGGCGUCCGCAUCACCUGGGAACUGACCGGAAAUGCAGAGUCUCAGGGGCCGCCUGGGCCCCACGCACGGACUUGGAAGCUGCAUUUCCACAUGCUCCCCACGUGACUCAUGUGCACACUGAAGUUUGAGCAGCCUGCAGAGGCCUGGACUGGAGGUCUCUGAGGGGGUCCCAUCUUCAGGCAGCGGGGGUGGAAACACCUGGUCUGAAGCCCCGCCCAUACCUUGGGAAAUAUUAAGUAAUUUAUGCCUUUGUCCCUUAGUCACACACUCAGCCUGGGGUGUACUUUAAACCCAGUUCUGUCACCAGGAAGCAGCCACACACUGUAAAGAGAAGAGGGCAGCUUUGCAAGGGAUCGGCUGUCUUGCUUAGAAGUGAGCACUCUCACAGAAUACACCGACAGCUGCCCCGCAGCCUUUUAAGGGCUGGGAAACAAUCUCAGAAAACAACUGAAAAAUAGGUCUGUGUGUUUAAAACCAAAAACAAAACACAAAAUUUAACCAAUUCCCUGCCCCCCAAUUCCUUCUUCCUUUUCUCUCUGAAAACUUGGCCAGCGAGCAUUAGUGGCAGUAAAUAUAGAAAGGGUGGCAAGUAAACCACUCAGAGGUGCCA